AGUUAAUUAGCUUAAGAAAAGCAUGUAUUUUGAAAAUACAAAAGAAAGGUUCAAUUCCUUUAUUAACUU
rnacentral:tRNA from 4 species